GAUGAACGCUGGCGGCGUGCCUAAUACAUGCAAGUCGAGCGAACGGACGAGAAGCUUGCUUUUCUGAUGUUAGCGGCGGACGGGUGAGUAACACGUGGAUAACCUACCUAUAAGACUGGGAUAACUUCGGGAAACCGGAGCUAAUACCGGAUAAUAUUUUGAACCGCAUGGUUCAAAAGUGAAAGACGGUCUUGCUGUCCCUUAUAGAUGAAUCCUCGCUGCAUUAGCUAGUUGGUAAGGUAACGGCUUACCAAGGCAACGAUGCAUAGCCGACCUGAGAGGGUGAUCGGCCACACUGGAACUGAGACACGGUCCAGACUCCUACGGGAGGCAGCAGUAGGGAAUCUUCCGCAAAGGGCGAAAGCCUGACGGAGCAACGCCGCGUGAGUGAUGAAGGUCUUCGGAUCGUAAAACUCUGUUAUUAGGGAAGAACAUAUGUGUAAGUAACUGUGCACAUCUUGACGGUACCUAAUCAGAAAGCCACGGCUAACUACGUG
rnacentral:rRNA from 1 species